AGAAGAAAAGGCACCCAAUUGUUCAUCCCUUUGAAAAAGUUAAUACAACACGGGUAGAACUAUUGGCUAAAUGGAAGAGUUCAAGGAAAACAAAGCCUCUAACAAUUCUAGGUAACAAAGUUGAUGCCAAGUGGUUCACAACACUUGAGACGCCAGGAAAAUCAAUAACAGCAGCUCAUAUUGAUCCAGCGGUCCAGCUAUAUAAGCAAAGAAAAGAAAGUCAUCCUGAUAUU